rnacentral:rRNA from 1 species
CCUACGGGUGGCAGCAGUGAGGAAUAUUGGUCAAUGGACGCAAGUCUGAACCAGCCAUGCCGCGUGCAGGAAGACGGCUCUAUGAGUUGUAAACUGCUUUUGUACGAGGGUAAACGCAGAUACGCGUAUCUGUCUGAAAUUAUCGUACGAAUAAGGAUCGGCUAACUCCGUUCCAGCCGCCGCGGUAAUACGGAGGAUUCAAGCGUUAUCCGGAUUUAUUGGGUGUAAAGGGUGCGUAGGCGGUCGGAUAAGUUAGAGGUGAAAUCCCGAGGCUCAACUUCGGAAUUGCCUCUGAUACUGUUAGGCUAGAGAGUAGUUGCGGUAGGCGGAAUGUAUGGUGUAGCGGUGAAAUGCUUAGAGAUCAUACAGAACACCGAUUGCGAAGGCAGCUUACCAAGAUACUUCUGACGUUGAGGCACGAAAGCGUGGGGAGCAAACAGGAUUAGAUACCCCGGUAGUC